CUUCCCCCUCAGUGUUCCCGGGUCCCACUCCUGUUCCUUUUGCCCCUGCAGUACGGAGGGGGGAGGGGGUGGAGCCCUCCCCCUGCCCACUCCAGCUGUCAAUCCCUGUCUGGCAGAAAGACGUGAAGCUUCGUGACAGCUGUGGGCAACUUUCCUCAGCCCCGCCUCCCGCCCCUGCCCUGCCCUCUUCCCC
rnacentral:lncRNA from 1 species